rnacentral:rRNA from 1 species
AUUGAACGCUGGCGGCAUGCCUUACACAUGCAAGUCGAACGGCAGCACGGGGGCAACCCUGGUGGCGAGUGGCGAACGGGUGAGUAACAUAUCGGAACAUACCCUAGAGUGGGGAUAACGUAGCGAAGUUACGCUAAUACCGCAUGCGAUCUAAGGAUGAAAGUGGGGGAUCUUCGGACCUCAUGCUCAUGGAGUGGCCGAUAUCUGAUUAGCUAGUUGGUGAGGUAAAGGCUCACCAAGGCGACGAUCAGUAGCUGGUUUGAGAGAACGACCAGCCACACUGGAACUGAGACACGGUCCAGACUCCUACGGGAGGCAGCAGUGGGGAAUUUUGGACAAUGGGGGCAACCCUGAUCCAGCAAUGCCGCGUGAGUGAAGAAGGCC